AACCGAGUCUUAAUUGGGCGUUAAGUUGCAGGGUAUAGACCCGAAACCCGGUGAUCUAGCCAUGGGCAGGUUGAAGGUUGGGUAACACUAACUGGAGGACCGAACCGACUAAUGUUGAAAAAUUAGCGGAUGACCUGUGGCUGGGGGUGAAAGGCCAAUCAAACCGGGAGAUAGCUGGUUCUCCCCGAAAGCUAUUUAGGUAGCGCCUCGUGAAUUCAUCUCCGGGGGUAGAGCACUGUUUCGGCUAGGGGGCCAUCCCGGCUUACCAACCCGAUGCAAACUGCGAAUACCGGAGAAUGUUAUCACGGGAGACACACGGCGGGUGCUAACGUCCGUCGUGAAGAGGGAAACAACCCAGACCGCCAGCUAAGGUCCCAAAGUCAUGGUUAAGUGGGAAACGAUGUGGGAAGGCCCAGACAGCCAGGAUGUUGGCUUAGAAGCAGCCAUCAUUUAAAGAAAGCGUAAUAGCUCACUGGUCGAGUCGGCCUGCGCGGAAGAUGUAACGGGGCUAAACCAUGCACCGAAGCUGCGGCAGCGACACUGUGUGUUGUUGGGUAGGGGAGCGUUCUGUAAGCCUGUGAAGGUGGCCUGUGAGGGUUGCUGGAGGUAUCAGAAGUGCGAAUGCUGACAUAAGUAACGAUAAAGCGGGUGAAAAGCCCGCUCGCCGGAAGACCAAGGGUUCCUGUCCAACGUUAAUCGGGGCAGGGUGAGUCGACCCCUAAGGCGAGGCCGAAAGGCGUAGUCGAUGGGAAACGGGUUAAUAUUCCCGUACUUGGUGUUACUGCGAAGGGGGGACGGAGAAGGCUAUGUUGGCCGGGCGACGGUUGUCCCGGUUUAAGCGUGUAGGUGUGUGUUCCAGGUAAAUCCGGUUCACUUUAACACUGAGGCGUGAUGACGAGGCACUACGGUGCUGAAGCAACAAAUGCCCUGCUUCCAGGAAAAGCCUCUAAGCAUCAGGUAACAUCAAAUCGUACCCCAAACCGACACAGGUGGUCAGGUAGAGAAUACCAAGGCGCUUGAGAGAACUCGGGUGAAGGAACUAGGCAAAAUGGUGCCGUAACUUCGGGAGAAGGCACGCUGACACGUAGGUGAAGUGAUUUACUCAUGGAGCUGAAGUCAGUCGAAGAUACCAGCUGGCUGCAACUGUUUAUUAAAAACACAGCACUGUGCAAACACGAAAGUGGACGUAUACGGUGUGACGCCUGCCCGGUGCCGGAAGGUUAAUUGAUGGGGUCAGCGCAAGCGAAGCUCCUGAUCGAAGCCCCGGUAAACGGCGGCCGUAACUAUAACGGUCCUAAGGUAGCGAAAUUCCUUGUCGGGUAAGUUCCGACCUGCACGAAUGGCGUAAUGAUGGCCAGGCUGUCUCCACCCGAGACUCAGUGAAAUUGAACUCGCUGUGAAGAUGCAGUGUACCCGCGGCAAGACGGAAAGACCCCGUGAACCUUUACUAUAGCUUGACACUGAACAUUGAGCCUUGAUGUGUAGGAUAGGUGGGAGGCUUUGAAGUGUGGACGCCAGUCUGCAUGGAGCCGACCUUGAAAUACCACCCUUUAAUGUUUGAUGUUCUAACGUGGACCCGUAAUCCGGGUUGCGGACAGUGUCUGGUGGGUAGUUUGACUGGGGCGGUCUCCUCCUAAAGAGUAACGGAGGAGCACGAAGGUUGGCUAAUCCUGGUCGGACAUCAGGAGGUUAGUGCAAUGGCAUAAGCCAGCUUGACUGCGAGCGUGACGGCGCGAGCAGGUGCGAAAGCAGGUCAUAGUGAUCCGGUGGUUCUGAAUGGAAGGGCCAUCGCUCAACGGAUAAAAGGUACUCCGGGGAUAACAGGCUGAUACCGCCCAAGAGUUCAUAUCGACGGCGGUGUUUGGCACCUCGAUGUCGGCUCAUCACAUCCUGGGGCUGAAGUAGGUCCCAAGGGUAUGGCUGUUCGCCAUUUAAAGUGGUACGCGAGCUGGGUUUAGAACGUCGUGAGACAGUUCGGUCCCUAUCUGCCGUGGGCGCUGGAGAACUGAGGGGGGCUGCUCCUAGUACGAGAGGACCGGAGUGGACGCAUCACUGGUGUUCGGGUUGUCAUGCCAAUGGCACUGCCCGGUAGCUAAAUGCGGAAGAGAUAAGUGCUGAAAGCAUCUAAGCACGAAACUUGCCCCGA
rnacentral:rRNA from 1 species